ensembl:lncRNA
UAGCACGGUGCCCAGUACAUAACAGAUGCUCCAUAAAUAGUUGUGAGAUCAAUCCAUUGACAUAUGGGUACAUUACAGUUUAUGAACUCACAACAUCUUUGUGCAUUAACUCCAUUGUACGGAUGCAAGAAUUGAGGCCUGAUUAGUUUAUGACUCAAAGUUAUGUAACGAGGAACUGAUGAGGCUAGCAUUCGAGUCUUCCAAUUCUUGAGCCAACACCCACUGGUCUCUCUUUAGAGUCUAAGAUCUGACAUCCAGGUUUUCCUUGGGAUUUAAAUAGCUGCAGUUUCAUUCGGGUUUAUCGGGAGAAUUUACGCACUCUGCCACAGUCACAUUGAGACAUCCGUUAGAAAACCCAGCCGGGCAGGUUAAAUGUUAAUUUCCUCUCUACUGUACCAUUGUCUAACCUCCUUCCAUGAAUCAAAGUGAGUAAAAGGUUCUUCACUUACUGACAUAAAACAAAUUGAACAAAUUAUGUUACUUAACUGAGCAAGAACUAGUCCCGCCAGUGACUCCAGUCCAGGCUGAGCCGAGCUUUUCCUCCUCAUUAACAUUCCCUUGCAAAUGAGGUUUGGAUUUUUUAAUGUAACGUGCAUUGACCUCAUUAGCAUAUCUGCCUGCAUCCCACUGGAGCUCCUACUCCCAGGCCCUGCUUCGAGGUAACGCUGCCGCCUCCACCCGCUUCUCGGCAGGCUAUGAAUCACAGUCCUAACCAGGCCAUGCAUCAGAGCCGUAGGUGGAAGCCAUUUCUAACAAUGAUAUCAGCGACUCCGGCGUGUAGAGGGCUCGGCACGAGCCAGGCCCUUCCCACAUUUAAAUAACGACCGCAGGCUGCUGCACAGUUCUUUUUCUUGAAAAAUGCUGAUCAUGAAGGGAAUGUUAAGCCCUCAUCCAGGGCCAUUUGGGCUUCCAAGGGAAGGACGUUUGGAGGAUCCUUGGGGUUGGGGGGGCGGCUCUGAACCCAAGUCCUGCGCAGACACAUGUUGGUUGGUCGUUGCUGGAGGGACAAGAACUCUCUGCCUGGAGUGUAUGCGGAAAGCCCAUGGCCUCCUGGAGGACGGGACCAGAUCUCACUGGGGACUCUGUGUCAGGAAAUUUUAGUUAGGCCCUCACUCACCCUGCAUGGGGCCCCUUACUCACCCCUCUAAAUCUUACCGUCUUAUUUCAUGAGGAUGACAAGAAGCAUUCUUAUUAAGCCUGUUUCACAAAUGGGGAAACAGAAGCUUCCAGAGGAAGCAGGGCUGAGGCCACGCCGGAAGCCCAGAUCUGCCCACCUCCCAAGCCCAGGAUUUUUCUCCAGGGGACCCUAGGCCUCAGGAACGUCCUGUCACUGGAGGAAUGGAUUUCUGCGGAGGAGUCAGGGAGCUAACAAAUGACAUGGGCAGUUCCCAUCACUAACUUGCUCCCUCGGCCUCUCACAGCUCUGCGUGACCUGAGGAAAAUCAAAGGAGAAGAACUUAAAAGCCACUUUAAAUUUCAGACCAAUUCAAUUUCGGAAUAUCACUCGUGAGGUGUAGCUCCCAGACGGAAUCUCUAAAUGACUAAUACUCUUCUUUGUCCAUUUCAGGGGAAAAUGAAUGUUGCUGCUAACAUUUGACAUCAAUCGCCCAAUCACAUGUUGUCACAUCAUUACUCAGCUCUGUGACAAAGGCAGAGGAGAGAGUCCACGGCUGAAAUUGUGCUGCUGGGCGAGGCACCAAUUCCGGGACUCUGGCGAGGAUGGAAUAGGGAACAAAAUGAAACUGAGCCAAAGAAGCUCCAUGUAAUGGGUUGUGUUGAGGAGCAAAGGGAAGAAGUUUAUGCUUUACCAGGAUGGCUAUUCAUUUCACGUCGAAUUUUUUUUUCCCUUUUUGGCCACACCCAUGGAUCCAGCUCUGGCAACACUGGAUCCAUAACCCGCUACGCUGGGCCGGGAAUCAAACCCAAGCCUCAGCAGCAACCCGAGCCACUGCAGAGAUGACACCAGAUCCUUAACCUGCUACACCACAGGAGAAACUCCCUCGUGUCUAAUUUUAAAAAUUCUAGCUGUAUAUUAACUUGGUUCC